rnacentral:rRNA from 1 species
UACGAAGGGGGCUAGCGUUGCUCGGAAUUACUGGGCGUAAAGCGCACGUAGGCGGCUUCUUAAGUCGGUGGUGAAAUCCUGGAGCUCAACUCCAGAACUGCCUUCGAAACUGAGAAGCUCGAGUCCGGGAGAGGUGAGUGGAACUGCGAGUGUAGAGGUGAAAUUCGUAGAUAUCGGGAGGAACACCUGAGGCGAAGGCGGGCUACUGGGCCGAUACUGACGCUGAUGCGCGAAAGCCAGGGGAGCGAACGGG